rnacentral:rRNA from 1 species
UACGUAGGGUGCAAGCGUUGUCCGGAAUUAUUGGGCGUAAAGAGCUCGUAGGCGGUUUGUCGCGUCUGCUGUGAAAACCCGAGGCUCAACCUCGGGCCUGCAGUGGGUACGGGCAGACUAGAGUGCGGUAGGGGAGAAUGGAAUUCCUGGUGUAGCGGUGGAAUGCGCAGAUAUCAGGAGGAACACCGAUGGCGAAGGCAGCACUCUGGGACGUGACUGACGCUGAGACGCGAAAGCGUGGGAGCAAACAGG